rnacentral:misc_RNA from 1 species
AAGUCGUAACAAGGUAUCCGUAGGUGAACCUGCGGAUGGAUCAUUAACGAUACGUGUUGUUCUUCACGGAACACACGUUCCUACCAACCAAACCUGUGCGAGGAGUGUCGGGUUGAAAGCCGGCUACUCCGUUUCUUUCUAUUUCUUUUUUCUUAUACAAACCUUAAAACCCUAUUUCUUCGUUUUCGAAGGACUGAAACCACACUGUUUCAAAUCGAAAGUAAGCGUCAGUUUACAAUCGUUUCUAUUAGACUUGGGAAACCAAGUUGAACGGACAGGUUGUGUAACGUUUGACACUUCCGAUUAGAUAUGAAAUCCUGUACAACUCUUAGCAACGGAUAUCUUGGUUCUC